CACUCGUAGGUUUCUCACUUGGUGCAAGAGUUAUUUUCAGCUGCUUCAGAUUUUGCCUGAAAGUGAAAAUAGUGGUAACACAUUAAGCUGACCCACUAAUCUAUGGCACAGUUUAUUUGCUCCAUCCUAAAAUUAAAGACUAGAAAAAGUUAUAAAGAAAGGUGAAACAUAUUCAUCGAUUUAUAUUUUUUUAAUGUGCCACAUGCUCAUUUACAAUACGCCAAAUUAGACAAGAUGGUAGAUACACUUAAGAGUGUAUCUAUGUUUGGCAUGGUAUGUGUCCCUUAUUUGAUCUAUCAAUAGUCUAUCAUUUAUGCUUAAAACAAGCAUCUAUUGUUUCAUUCUUUGAGCAAUGCUGCUUGUACAGGCCACACACAAUACAGAGGGGUGGCUAAUUUCAUUUUUUUUAAAAUAAUCCCCCACCCAACAUGUGAGGGGCCUAUACAGCAGGCAAUUUCCUCCUCAGAAAUGGUUCACAUUCCAUCUAACUGAUGCGGGUAAAGGUGUUUCCAAUUUUCCACUCAAAUCACUAACAUCCCAUCUAAGUACAAAGACCUUAAUGUAAAGGCUUUAGUGCCAAUGUCAGCCAUCUAACACUUUGAACAAAAGAAUGAGGAAAUUGCCUAUUGUUCACAGGGGACAAAUCUCUCACAUGCUGGGUGGGGGAUUAUUUAAAAAAAAAAAAAAAAUUAUCCACCCCCCUGUUUUCACAGGGCCUGUACAGGUAGCACUACUCUUCUGAGGAUUGGAUAACUAGAACCUGCCGGCAUGGACUAACACACUUAAGAAUUAUUAGAGAAGUACUGUACCAGUACUGUGCAGUUCCUUCAACAAGCUACCAUAAACAUAGAACGGGUGAUGGCUCGAAGUUUUUUGAUAGAAUGACAUGCUAUGAUUGAUCUAUUUCUGCCGUUUAAUUACAAUUUAGUACAUGACAUGGGAUUUUACCUUAUUACCUAAUUGCUAGCUUUGUACUUAAAUAUCUCAUAGUUUUGUCUCUCAAUGUUAAAACUUCAAACCUGAGUAUAAGCUAAACAAAAAAGUACCUCCAGAUUUAAGAAUCCAAACAAAUGAUUCUGGAAAUUUCUACAGGAUGGAUAUCAAUUCUAUCUGCAUUGCAAAUUUAACUUCUUUUCAUAUAUGAUCCUGGGUCCUAUUAUUCUGAUGACUUAUAAUAAACAACAUUCCUUCCAAUCCCACCCCCCAGUUGAAGGUUUCAAAUAGUAAAUCAUGCCCUUUUAGACAACUUAGAUUUUAGAUAAAAUGUUGAUUCAGUAUGGCCUUAGAAUAGGCACAUGUCAUAGUAUUAAGAUUUACGGACUCCCAUUGCUAAUAGUUAAUUAAUAAAAUCAUGUGCUAAGCCUUUGAGAAAAAUAAACGUUGCCCGGAUGUCGUCGUCCUUCAAACAACUUGACUUUUUAGGUGGGAACUCGACCUCCAAAAGAAAAUCUCUUUUAAGUUCUGUAUUAUAAAAUACUGAUUCACUCCCCUAUUUUUUGUCAGCUGGACUUGUGGAAAGAGUUGUUCUACUUGGAGCACCCAUUGCAAUUAAAGAAAUGAACUGGGAAGCUACUCGGCAGGGAUUGUUGCUUUACCUUCUGCAUUCAUAUUCACAAAUAUUGAUAUUGUAUCAAUAAUAGGCACAUAUGCAUCAGUUACUGUUAUUGCAUAUGUUUAACAUUCUCUAUUAUGCAGGUGGUGGCUGGAAGGUUUGUGAAUGCAUAUUCUACCAACGAUUGGAUACUUGGAAUUGCGUUUCGUGCCAAGUAUGCAAGUCUUAAAUCUACUGUGAAAAUAUUAGGAUUGUGAAAUUGAUAGGUAGAUCACAUCUUGCUUUUGAAGUUGAGAUUUGUGCCUAACUGUGUCAAUAGAAGUAUCAAAACAAAAGAAGAAGUGAAUUUUUUUUGUCCAUUCUUUUGCUUAUUGAUUUUCGAUGUUGCCCUUUGCCUAUAACAGUCUUCUGACACUAGGAUUGGCAGGAAUUCAACCAGUGGAAGUGCCUGGAAUUGAAAAUGUAAAUAUUAUUCGUAAUGCUGGUCAACAUAGCGUAACAUAUGUUUGGGAUUUCAACCUUUAUCUCUCCAUUGUUUUUGACAGGUUAACGUAACUAGCAUAAUUGAUGGUCACUCUUUUAUCUUUGGAAUGCCCAGGAAAUCCUAGAACAGCUCGAACCGAUUUUCAGUCCUCCCCCUGUCAAAACAUAGUUUGUACUGAAAUUCUGGCAUAGAGUGCAAUUGCAUCAGAGGCUUUGUUCUUGUCGGAAAUGGAGGUUUGGAUCUAAUUUUAAGUGUUACCGUAGUCGGCUUGUGUAUUCUUGAACCGAGGAUAUUUCAUUAGUUACUGCUUGGUACUUCUAUAAAUUUCAUUUUAUCCUCAUUCUUUGCGCAAUAUGAAUCAUAAGAAUUGAACAAAUGAAACAGGUAAACAGGUGGUAAUAUUGAAGAUCUGUACUUGCUCGUGUUACUGAGGAGAUGAAGAGUGGCUAUAAAAGUGCAAAACAAAUGCUGGAGUUCCCAUACGAGAAAUUAAGUAGAUGCCAUAUUUUUGGAACUGAUACAAAUCAACAUUGCCAAGAAUGUAGAAUGUAAAAUGAAUAAUGUUAAUUUACAUAAACAUAAAAUGUCACAACAUGUAGAACUUUUAGCUUCAAUGAUACUAUAGUAUACUUUUCUACACUAACAUGAAAGUAUUUUGCACAUUGUUCUGAG
rnacentral:lncRNA from 1 species